AGGGAAUCUUCCACAAUGGACGCAAGUCUGAUGGAAGCAAACCCCGUGAGUGAAGAAGGUCUUCGGAUCGUAAAGCUCUGUUGUUGGUGAAGAAGGAUAGAGGCAGUAACUGGUCUUUAUUUGACGGUAAUCAACCAGAAAAUCACGGCUAACUACGUGCCAGCAGCCGCGGUAAUACGUAGGUGGCAAGCGUUGUCCGGAUUUAUUGGGCGUAAAGCGAGCGCAGGCGGAAUGAUAAGUCUGAUGUGAAAGCCCACGGCUCAACCGUGGAACUGCAUCGGAAACUGUCAUUCUUGAGUGCAGAAGAGGAGAGUGGAACUCCAUGUGUAGCGGUGGAAUGCGUAGAUAUAUGGAAGAACACCAGUGGCGAAGGCGGCUCUCUGGUCUGCAACUGACGCUGAGGCUCGAAAGCAUGGGUAGCGAACAGGAUUAGAUACCCUGGUAGUCCAUGCCGUAAACGAUGAGCGCUAGGCGUUGGGGACUUUCCGGUCCUCAGUGCCGCAGCAAACGCAUUAAGCGCUCCGCCUGGGGAGUACGACCGCAAGGUUG
rnacentral:rRNA from 1 species